rnacentral:rRNA from 1 species
UGGGGAAUAUUGCACAAUGGGCGCAAGCCUGAUGCAGCCAUGCCGCGUGUAUGAAGAAGGCCUUCGGGUUGUAAAGUACUUUCAGCGGGGAGGAAGGGAGUAAAGUUAAUACCUUUGCUCAUUGACGUUACCCGCAGAAGAAGCACCGGCUAACUCCGUGCCAGCAGCCGCGAUAAUACGGAGGGUGCAAGCGUUAAUCGGAAUUACUGGGCGUAAAGCGCACGCAGGCGGUUUGUUAAGUCAGAUGUGAAAUCCCCGGGCUCAACCUGGGAACUGCAUCUGAUACUGGCAAGCUUGAGUCUCGUAGAGGGGGGUAGAAUUCCAGGUGUAGCGGUGAAAUGCGUAGAGAUCUGGAGGAAUACCGGUGGCGAAGGCGGCCCCCUGGACAAAGACUGACGCUCAGGUGCGAAAGCGUGGGGAGCAAACA